rnacentral:rRNA from 1 species
GAUGAACGCUGGCGGCGUGCCUAAUACAUGCAAGUAGAACGCUGAAGGAGGAGCUUGCUCUUCUGGAUGAGUUGCGAACGGGUGAGUAACGCGUAGGUAACCUGCCUGGUAGCGGGGGAUAACUAUUGGAAACGAUAGCUAAUACCGCAUGACAACAGUUAUUGCAUGAUAACUGUUUAAAAGGGGCAACUGCUCCACUACCAGAUGGACCUGCGUUGUAUUAGCUAGUUGGUGAGGUAACGGCUCACCAAGGCGACGAUACAUAGCCGACCUGAGAGGGUGAUCGGCCACACUGGGACUGAGACACGGCCCAGACUCCUACGGGAGGCAGCAGUAGGGAAUCUUCGGCAAUGGACGGAAGUCUGACCGAGCAACGCCGCGUGAGUGAAGAAGGUUGUCGGAUCGUAAAGCUCUGUUGUAAGAGAAGAACGAGUGUGAGAGUGGAAAGUUCACGCUGUGACGGUAUCUUACCAGAAAGGGACGGCUAACUACGUG